rnacentral:piRNA from 1 species
UGGGAAACUGAAGGCUUGGCCGGCUGUGA